rnacentral:rRNA from 1 species
GACAGAGGUGCCAAGCGUUAGGCGGAAUCACUGGGCUUAAAGCGUGUGUAGGCGGAUCGUUAAGUACCUUGUGAAAUCCCACGGCUCAACCGUGGAACUGCUGGGUAUACUGGCGAUCUUGAGCCACCUAGGGGCGAGCGGAACAAGCGGUGGAGCGGUGAAAUGCGUAGAUAUCGGGAGGAACACCGGUGGCGAAGGCGGUUCUCUGGGCCUUACCUGACGCUGAGGCACGAAAGCGUGGGGAGCAAACAGG